UAGGGAAUCUUCGGCAAUGGAGAAAGGUCUGACCGAGCAACGCCGCGUGAGUGAAGAAGGUUUUCGGAUCGUAAAACUCUGUUGGUAGAGAAGAACGUUGGUGAGAGUGGAAAGCUCAUCAAGUGACGGUAACUACCCAGAAAGGGACGGCUAACUACGUGCCAG
rnacentral:rRNA from 1 species